UCUCCGUAGGUGAACCUGCGGAGGGAUCAUUACUGAGUGAGGGUUUAACCGCCCGAUCUCCAACCCCAUGUGAACCGAAACCUGUUGCUUCGGGGGCGACCCUGCCUUUCGGCGCGGCGCCCCCGGAGGCUCAUCAAACACUGCAUCUUUGCGUCAGAGUAUUAGUAAAUCUAAUCAAAACUUUCAACAACGGAUCUCUUGGUUCUGGCAUCGAUGAAGAACGCAGC
rnacentral:misc_RNA from 1 species